rnacentral:lncRNA from 1 species
UUUCUCACGGAUUUCUUUUACUUAUUUUGACUUAGCCCAGCGGCAGCUCCAUUUGAAAGGUUUUGAGUCUAUUUUUCUGAACAAGCUCCAUGGAGCAGGAAUAGCGUUUUCUUGCUGUAUCUCCAGUGCUGAGAGACCUAUACCAGGUGCAUGAUAUAUGCCUAUGGAUACUGAAUGAAAUAAGUGGGUGUUGCUGUCAAACGCGCUGAACACGGCUCUGCCCAUCCUCCCCCAGCGUGGACUUAGCAAAUGCUGGGACGUUUCUGAGAGCUUUUGAUUUUAAUGACUUCAGGAACUAGGAAGAGAGCAGGAUUUGUCUCUGAAAGGAAUGAAUUACAACUGUCUGUACGGACAGUUUUCCUAAAUCAGGCAUGGAGCUACUGUCUAUCUCUUUACCCGGAGAUCAUCUUAGUGUCUGAGCCCAAGGGCAGAGUAUUGACCGUGAACUUCCUAAGGUCCCGCGAGGACUAGAACUCCAGAGUCAAGGCUUUGGGUGAACGAGGGGCUUAAACACUGGUGGCGCCUCCACCCCCUCCUAGAGAUGUUGUCAAACGGCCCGUGAGAAGAUGAGGAGGGAUGGAGAAGAUGCUUGUCUGUAGACCAUGUUUUGAGCUCUAUGGCAGCUCCUCUGCAAACCUUAGGAAUGAUGAGACGGGGCAGCAGCAUGAAGGCAGAGGCUUUACCCCAUCAGGGCGCUUUUUAGGUGUUAUGAAAACCCAUAAGAGAACUGCUAAACACAGGAUAGUUAAGCCAUGUUUCUGCUGUUGGUCCUGGGAGCACUGCCACCUCUGCUUGCACCUAGGUGGGCACCUGCCAGCUGAUGGGCCCCUUACUUUGCUGUUAACUCGAGAGCAUUCCUGUUAUACACAGGGAUUCUGAACAGGAAGAAGGGCAUUUCUCAGAAGGAACAGGAGGAAACCUUGAACUCCAGAUAAGAAUAAUCAGUCCUUCCAACGUAACUGCGCAUGCCUAGCUGUCAGCCCCACCAGCGUGGACACGUGACUGAAGAACGCAUCAGCCCAGCUGCCUGUAAGGGAAGGGACUUCUGCAUUCUUUUUUAAGCACAGGACUGCCCUCUUGAAUUUUAGUUACGCAUUAUUUAUAACAUGAAAACAAAUGGCAUUUUGUUCCCCCGAGAAGUGACUCAAGCCAAAAAUCAAACUUUUAAAAAUGUUUUAAAAUGUUCAUAAAUUACACAUAAUAGGUUUCAUCGUGAGUUGCUUACUCACUUGGGAGGUUUGCUUCCUGGAAUUUUUUGUUUUUUUCCAUUUUAGGGCCACACCCAUAGCUUAUGGAAGUUCCCAGGCUAGGGGUCAAAUCUUGAGUCAGCGCUGCCGCUGCCGGCCUACACCACAGCCACAGCAACACUAGAUCUGAGCCGUGUCUGCAACGUACACCACAGCUCACGGCAAUGCCGGAUCCUCAACCCACUGAGCAAGGCCGGGCAUCACACCCAAGUCCUCAGGGGUACUAGUUGAGCUCUUAACCUGCUGAGCCACCACGGGAACGCCUCUCGACCUUGAAAAUUGAGUAGGACCGUGACCUUUCCCACGGCCACUUCCCUGGCCGCCCUCCGUCCGAGAGAGGAUGCUCCUGCCACGGACACGACACUUUGCGAGGAGGGAGGAAAACAGCAGGCGGGUUUUCAGGGCUGAGAUGCAUGAAGAAAUGGUGUGUGAUCUGAGGUUGCUUAGAUUAGACAAGAUGACCGUUUCUGAAGAAAUAACUUUUUAUGAAAUGGUUAUCGAAUCUUAAUUACGCUUGAGGAUUACUCAUGAGCGUGUGCUCCUAAACUAUGUGGGUGAAACAAAUCAAUAGUUAGACUUGGGAAUUUGACCGUCCCGCUGAUGAGCCCAGGAUAGUCCACGGGGACAGGGAAUGAAGUCGUCGGGGGCGGGGAGGGGCAUUGGGUCUUCGAGGGGGGAAGGAUCAGGUGUCCCGGAGCCUGUUAACUGCAGACUGGUUCAGAAAUAGGAAAUUAAAAGUCCUAACUACUUUAAUUCAGCCUCAGUUUUUUUAAAGCCUACCAUUUUUAAAAAUCAACUCAUAAAUUAUAGUGUUACUAAAUGAGGAACUUCAAGGGGAAAAGCCUCUGACACAGUAAAGCAUCAGGCUACUUGCAUUUUCUUUUUGUAACCAAGAAGGGCAAAGUGCAUUUUCAUGCCAAGCAGGUUACAGAGGACCUCAGCGAGGACAGACAAUGAUUUAACCUAACUUUAAGUAUCUCCUAAUUAUUUAUGUGUUCCUGACUAGAUUGUUUGCAAGAAGUUCUGUGAUAUUCUGCUUUUUAUUUAUUUAUUUAUUUAUUUGUUGUCUUUUUUAGGGCCGCACCUGCGGCAUAUGGAGACUCCCAGGCUAGGGGUCUAAUCAGAGCUUCAGCCGCUGGCCUACGCCAAAGCCACAGCAACUCGGGACCCAAGCCGCGUCUGUGAACUACACCACAGCUCACAGUGACACCGGAUCCUUAACCCACUGAGCGAGGCCAGGGAUCAAACCUGCAGCCUCAUGGUUCCUAGGCAGAUUCCUUAACCACUGAGCCAUGACAGAAACUCCUGUGAUAUUCUGCUUUUUAAAAAGCUUUUAUUGGCAUCCUUUCUGAUGUAUCAAAACCUGAGCUUCUGUAACGCUUCUUUAGGAGACUGAAUGUGCUGAGAAGGUUUGCUCUAGAAAACCAUUCAUUUGAAGUGAAAAACCGUUUCUCAUGGGUAUAGAGUUGGCUGCCCAAGCGUAUUGAUCGCAUUAACUCUGACCUCACUGAUUUUGCUAUAAUUAAAUCAACUGUUAGAAAA